CCUGCACUUUUAAACUCCAUCGAUCACUACUCCCUUGCCCUUAGGAGUACUUGCUCUUGCUGUAUUACAUGGAAGAAGGGGUGAGAUUCUAAAGAAUCCCAGUAGUAACAAAUUUCCCUCACGUAAUCAUACAAGAUCACAAACAACAUGCUACACAGGCCAAAGAGAACAACACCUUGCAUCCAAGUAUAAUCAAUGAUGCAUAUACACCAUACACCCAUAUAGCUAAUCGCUAUCUAUCACGCCCACAUUCCAAAAUAAAUGGAAACCAGCGCAUAUUGUCAUGACAAAUAUUAUUAUGCAAAGGCAACUUACAUGUUCUCAUGCACAAUCAGCAUAAAGGCACAUCCAAGCAUGUGGCAAUCAAUGCACAAUCACAUUAAAGGAAAAGAGAAAGUUAGUAACU